GAUGAACGCUGGCGGCGUGCCUAAUACAUGCAAGUCGAGCGAACGGACGAGAGGCUUGCUUCUCUGAUGUUAGCGGCGGACGGGUGAGUAACACGUGGAUAACCUACCUAUAAGACUGGGAUAACUUCGGGAAACCGGAGCUAAUACCGGAUGAUAUUUUGAACCGCAUGGUUCAAAAGUGAAAGACGUUCUUGCUGUCACUUAUAGAUGGAUCCGCGCUGCAUUAGCUAGUUGGUAAGGUAACGGCUUACCAAGGCAACGAUGCAUAGCCGACCUGAGAGGGUGAUCGGCCACACUGGAACUGAGACACGGUCCAGACUCCUACGGGAGGCAGCAGUAGGGAAUCUUCCGCAAUGGGCGAAAGCCUGACGGAGCAACGCCGCGUGAGUGAUGAAGGUCUUCGGAUCGUAAAACUCUGUUAUUAGGGAAGAACAUAUGUGUAAGUAACUGUGCACAUCUUGACGGUACCUAAUCAGAAAGCCACGGCUAACUACGUG
rnacentral:rRNA from 1 species